rnacentral:lncRNA from 1 species
GGUCGCAGCCACCGCGCCUCGCCUGGGGCUGCAGCAACCAGCACGCAGGCACCCCUGGAACAGGCUGGACUGCCUUUCCGACGAGCGUCCUGCGCCCGGACUGUGGAGGGCCCCAGCCGCUUUCCAGCUUUCGGCUCCAGGGCUCAGCGCCACGCGCUCCGGCUCACACCCUCGGCCCCUGGCACCCGGUGCCGGCCCCGUGGGUCCCGCUCACACGCACCCUGGGCAGGGCCCCGCGGUGCGCCCCAUAGUUUGGGGGCAGCUCCCAGGUGUCUCUGGGAAGGGAAAGAAAGGCCACAAAGCAAAAGGAGCAAAAAGGCGAAGGAGGAGCAGAGGCCCGGGUCCUGUGGACUCGCCUGGGCUGGGGGUGGGGACACUGAGAGGGCUGCAAAGGCUCCGGGGGGUCGCGCGUGGCCCCCGGGCUCACCCCUGGCUCUCGGCUGCCCUUCCCUCCCCUUCCUGGGCUCCGGGCCCCUCUCAGUGCAGUUCCUUUCUCCUCCCCUCGGGCCCUCUCCCCUCUCCUCUCCGAAGCGGGACUCAGUCCUGGGGAUUAAGAGAAAGGAGGGAGGGGAAAGGGGAGGAGAAGGGAAGGGGGGGAGGAGAAGGGAAGGGGUGGAGGAGAAAGGGGGACGAUCCUUCCAAAGGCGGGUGUUGAGUUUCAGCUCAGGACCCUCGGGUCCAGCUGCCUGUUCCCACUCCCCCCGCCCCCCCACCCUCCUCGCCUUCGCCCCAGGCCCCAGUCCCCCAGCGCCUUCCUUCUCCAGACUCCUCGGCUGGCCUCGAUCGCGGUGGUCUGGUCUGGUCGGCUCCCUUUGGGAGCUUUCCUCUCCCUGCCACGCCCCCGUCUCCCCACCUCCCCCCGCAGCCCCACGCCUCUCGGCCUCCCUUUUCAUUAUCCCCACAUCUGUCUUUCCCAUGGGAGGGAGCGCGCGCCUUCCGCCCUGCGGGGCCUUUAGCGGAGCCUCUCGGCUUCUCAGUGCCUCCGUUGCAGGGCUGCAGGUUUCGCUGGGCCGUUCUUGCAGGGCACAGGUGGGGAGUCUAGCGCUGGACAUGGAUUCUCGCCCUGGUGACAGAACAAGAAGCUGGGCGUCUGGCCCCAGAGCUGCAAGCGGGCAGGUUGUGUGGUCUCUUACACUCCUCUGCCAGUCUGGGCCUGCCGGCCUCCACAGCCUGGUUCACUCUUGCUGCUAG